GAGUUUGAUCUUGGCUCAGGAUGAACGCUGGCGGCGUGCCUAAUACAUGCAAGUCGAACGAACAGAUAAGGAGCUUGCUCCUUUGACGUUAGCGGCGGACGGGUGAGUAACACGUGGGUAACCUACCUAUAAGACUGGAAUAACUCCGGGAAACCGGGGCUAAUGCCGGAUAACAUGUUGAACCGCAUGGUUCUACAGUGAAAGACGGUCUUGCUGUCACUUAUAGAUGGACCCGCGCCGUAUUAGCUAGUUGGUGGGGUAACGGCCUACCAAGGCGACGAUACGUAGCCGACCUGAGAGGGUGACCGGCCACACUGGAACUGAGACACGGUCCAGACUCCUACGGGAGGCAGCAGUAGGGAAUCUUCCGCAAUGGGCGAAAGCCUGACGGAGCAACGCCGCGUGAGUGAUGAAGGUCUUCGGAUCGUAAAGCUCUGUUGUUAGGGAAGAACAAAUGUGUAAGUAACUGUGCAUAUCUUGACGGUACCUAACCAGAAAGCCACGGCUAACUACGUGCCAGCAGCCGCCGUAAU
rnacentral:rRNA from 1 species